CGUAGGGUGCGAGCGUUAAUCGGAAUUACUGGGCGUAAAGGGUGUGCAGGCGGGGUGGCAAGUGGUGUAUGAAAUAUCCCAGCUUAACUGGGAGGGGUUAUGCCAGACUGCUACUCUAGAGGACGAGAGAGGGGCGUGGAAUUCCGGGUGUAGUGGUGAAAUGCGUAGAGAUCCGGAGGAACCCCAGAGGCGAAGGCGACGCCCUGGCUCGUACCUGACGCUCAGCCACGAAAGCAUGGGGAGCGAACGGGAUUAGAAACCCCGGUAGUCCAUGCCGUAAACGAUGCAAACUAGGCGCUGACGGUCUCAACCCCGCCGGUGCCGGAGCUAACGCGAUAAGUUUGCCGCCUGGGGAGUACGGUCGCAAGGCUA
rnacentral:rRNA from 1 species